GUCUACGGCCAUACAACCCUGAAGAUGCCCAAUCUUGUCUGAUCUCAGAAGCUAAGCAGGGUCAGGCCUGGUUAGUAUUUGGAGGGGAGAAAAUAUAAAAUAUAAGACAUAUUUUGAUA
ensembl:rRNA 5S_rRNA 5S ribosomal RNA